AGAGUUUGAUCAUGGCUCAGGAUGAACGCUGGCGGCGUGCCUAACACAUGCAAGUCGAACGGUCCUUCGGGACAGUGGCGCACGGGUGAGUAACACGUAGCUAACCUGCCUUCGAGAGGGGGAUAACGCCCCGAAAGGGGUGCUAAUACCGCGUACGCUCGCGCGAUGUAGAGGCGCGCGAGGAAAGGCGCAAGCCGCUCGAAGAGGGGGCUGCGGCCCAUCAGGUAGUUGGUAGGGUAACGGCCUACCAAGCCAACGACGGGUAGGGGGUCUGAGAGGAUGGUCCCCCACACUGGGACUGAGACACGGCCCAGACUCCUACGGGAGGCAGCAGUGAGGGAUCUUGCACAAUGGGGGAAACCCUGAUGCAGCGACGCCGCGUGGGCGAAGAAGGCCUUCGGGUCGUAAAGCCCUUUUCUGGGUGACGAGGAAGGACGGUAGCCCAGGGAGAAGUCUCGGCUAACUACGUGCCAGCAGCCGCGGUAAAACGUAGGAGGCAAGCGUUAUCCGGAGUUACUGGGCGUAAAGCGCGCGCAGGCGGUUAGGCAAGUUGGGUGUGAAAGCUCCCGGCUAAACCGGGAGAGUGCAUUCAAGACUGCCUGGCUAGAGGACGGUAGAGGGGCGCAGAAUUCGGGGUGUAGCGGUGAAAUGUGUAGAGAUCCCGAGGAAUACCAGUGGGGAAGCCGGCGCCCUGGGCCGAACCUGACGCUGAGGCGCGACAGCGUGGGGAGCGAACGGGAUUAGAGACCCCGGUAGUCCACGCCGUAAACGAUGCAGACUGGGUGUUCACUUGCCUGCGGGCGAGGGAGUGCCGAAGCAAACGCGCUAAGUCUGCCGCCUGGGGAGUACGGUCGCAAGGCUAAAACUCAAAGGAAUUGACGG
rnacentral:rRNA from 1 species